rnacentral:rRNA from 1 species
GACGAACGCUGGCGGCGUGCUUAACACAUGCAAGUCGAACGGAAAGGCCCUGCUUUUGUUGGGUGCUCGAUUGGCGAACGGGUGAGUAACACGUGAGUAACCUGCCCUUGACUUUGGGAUAACUUCAGGAAACAGGGGCUAAUACCGGAUAGGAUCUCCUGCUGCAUGGUGGGGGUUGGAAAGUUUCGGCGGUUGGGGCUGGACUCGAGGCUUAUCAGCUUGUUGGUGGGGUAGUGGCUUACGAAGGCUUUGACGGGUAGCCGGCCUGAGAGGGUGACCGGCGUCAUGGGGACUGAGAUACGGACCAGACGCCUACGGGAGGCAGCAGUGGGGAAUAUUGCACAAUGGGGGGAAGCCUGAUGCAGCAACGUCGCGUGCGGGAUGACGGCCUUCGGGUUGUAAACCGCUUUGGCCUGUGACGAAGCGUGAGUGACGGUAAUGGGUAAAGAAGCAACGGCUAACUACGUG